rnacentral:rRNA from 1 species
UACAGAGGGUGCGAGCGUUACUCGGAAUUACUGGGCGUAAAGCGCGCGUAGGCGGCUUUUCAAGUCGAUUGUGAAAUCCCCGGGCUUAACCUGGGAACUGCAGUCGGGACUGUCUGGCUAGAGUAUGGGAGAGGGAAGUGGAAUUUCAGGUGUAGCGGUGAAAUGCGUAGAUAUCUGAAGGAACAUCAGUGGCGAAAGCGACUUCCUGGACCAAUACUGACGCUCAUGUGCGAAAGCGUGGGGAGCAAACAGG